CUCCCUGAGGUUGCAGUGGAGCAAACUAAAAAUUGCAGAUCUUAUCUCCUUAAGCAGUAGUAGAGCAGAUCGAAAACGGCGAAUCUUAUCUUCAUGUAGCGGCAAUGGAGCAGAUUUAAGCCACCAGCCUAAUCUCUCUGAAGUUGCAGUGGAGCAGGUUCAAGAUACAAGUCUUAUCUCCCUGAGGUUGCAGUGGAGCAGACUGAAAAUUGUAGAUCUUAUCUCCCUAAGUAGCAGUGGAACAGAUCGAAGACGGCGAGUUUUAUCUUCCCAAUGUAGCAGGGAGUAGAUUUAAGCCACUAGCCUUAUCUCCCUGAGCAAUAGUAGAGUAGGCUGAAGAUUGCGAAUCUUGUCUCUUUAAGUAGUAGUGGAGAAAAUCGAAGAUGGCGAAUCUUAUUUUCUAGAGGUAAUAGGGAAGCAGAUUGAAGCCAUCAGCCUUAUCCCCCUAAAGUUGCAGCGGAGCAGACUGAAGAUAAUGACUCUUAUUUUCUAUAAGUUUCAGUGGAGCAGAUCGCAAUUACAAAUCUUUUUUCCCCGAAAUUACUUUUGAAUGGCUAGAAGCAACAAUUUCUAUACCCUUGAAGAUACAGUAGGUUAAAGCGAGGCUAUCUGAAGAAAAGAAGCAUCAAGAGGGCAAGCUCAGUAAGAUCGGGCAAAAUUGGCCCUUUUUAAGUCUUUGCUCCAUUCUCGUUACACGACAAUGGGCAAAGAGGGGCAGUUGUAGGGCCCAAUUUUAGCCCGGUCCAAACUUAAAGACCCAAAAUAUACAAGGCAGCCCAACAGGCUCAAAACAUAACCCUAGCCUAAACUAAAACACUAAACAGAAAAUAGGGAAGCAGCACACCCCUUGGACCAGCCCCACAUGUUCGUCGGCCGCUCCAUAUCCCGCUCCUCCACGUUCUCACCCACGUACCACGUCAGUGCCCACGUCCACUACGCCACCCAUAACCUGCAAUGGUCUAAAGUGUUAUAAUUUAGGCUAUAUAAAGCCAUAGUCAACACUGUAAAAGGGGGACGGAUAUUACGAAUAUACAAACAGAUACAAAAUCAUAAAAUAUAGAGAAGUUUUUAAAAGGUGAUUUUUUUCCUACAUUUGGCUUUUGAUUUCAAUUUGUUUUAUUUUAUUUCUUACCUGUGCUUAACAAAAAUAAGCGAAGGGAAAGGAGUCACUUACCUUAAGUUGAAGAGUUUAAUAUUGUGGGUCAGAAGAGGACGUCAUCGCCGAUAAACAGCGACGAAGCCUGUUUUCCGUCUUUGUUUUUCAAAAAAAUACAAUGCCUUAAAAUACGAAUGUUUUUGGUUCGUUUUUGAAAGACUUUCAAUUUUUUUUUCCAAAAUGGACACUAGAUCAGGGUUCUGAGUUUAAAAAAUGAGAAAAAAGAGGGUUUUAGAACUCCGACCACUGCGCACGGUAGUCGUUGGUGACAGACCAACGAUGGUCGGUGGCUGGCCUUUGGGUUUGUUAGAGAGAAAAAGAGAGAAGGCCAUCCUUUUUUUUGAAACAAAAGAAAGAAAUAAGAGAAAAAUAAAAUUUUUCAAGUCUUAUAAUGGGGUAAAACGGUGCGUUUAGCACCCCCCUAAGUGCUCCAUACGACGCCGUUUUACCCCAUAUAUCCCCAAUCCGUUUGACCCGAUCCGAUACCCAGGAGGACCCACUUGUUUUGUUAAAAGGGGUUAUUUGCGCAGUCAGUCCCUCCCCUUUGCGUUGCUAUUUGAUUAGGCCCAUGUGCAUUCCUUUUUUCUGUUUUAAAUUUUGGCCCAGGAGUUUUGUGUCAGUUUUGUUUUGACCCACAAUUAAAUGUUGCGUUUUGGUAACUGGGGAUAUUUUCUUUUUGAAUCCUCCUUUGUUUGCGCGCAUUAUAUUUUAGUCCUUGAUUCUGUUUUAAUGGUUUAUUUAUUUAGGAAUUAUCUUUUUUAUUUUGUUUUUGUUUCAAUUGAAUCCUUUCUCCUUUUAAAUGUCGGCUUUUGUAUAUAUAUAUAUUUUAUUUGAAGUUAUUUGUUAUCCUUGUUUUAUAUUAUUCAUUUUUAUAAAUUAUUCCAUGUUAUCCUCCUUUUAGAAAAAAAUUUGAUUUAAUAUAUCUUAUUUGAAUUAUUUUAUAUACAUUACUUAUCUAACGUGGUUUAAUGUGGCUUUAUUUAUUUAUUUUGAACUCUUUUAUAUAUCUGUAUAUGUUUUUGCCCUCUUUGAUUGUUUUAUUAUUAUAAACUUUUAUACGCUAUUUAUUUUUAAACUUUUGUGUACAUUUUUUUUACUAUUUAUUUUGAACCUUUUUUGUACUUUCAAUUUGUUAUUUGUUUUAAUUUGCUUUACAUAUUAUUAGCUAGAUAUUUUUGUACAUAUUAUUUAUUUGAAAUUCAUAUAUAUUUUAUCUAUUUUAAAUCUAUAUAUGUAUAUCCUUUGGUUUAAAAUGUCUUAUAUGUUAUUUUUUAUUUUAUUUUUUUAUACCAUCUAUUUUAACUUCUUACAUAAUGCUCAUCUCAAAUUUUUAUACAUUAAUUACUUUAAUACUUUCAUAUAUUAUGUAUUGUAAACUCUUUUUUCACACAUUAUAUAUUAUUUUUAAAGAGUUUUAUAUAUUAUUUUAUCUUGAAUGGAUUCUAAUUUUUUUUAAAAUUAUUUUAUAAACUUUAGAUCGCUUUUAUAACAUCCAUUUCGAAUCCUUUUUAUGUAUUAUUUGCUUAGAAUUGUUUUAUAUUUUAUUUUAGAUCUUCCUUCUUUGUAUUCAUCU
rnacentral:lncRNA from 1 species